UGGGGGAUAUUGCACAAUGGGGGAAACCCUGAUGCAGCGACGCCGCGUGGAGGAAGAAGGUUUUCGGAUUGUAAACUCCUGUCGUUAGGGACGAUAAUGACGGUACCUAACAAGAAAGCACCGGCUAACUACGUGCCAGCAGCCGCGGUAAAACGUAGGGUGCAAGCGUUGUCCGGAAUUACUGGGUGUAAAGGGAGCGCAGGCGGGAAGACAAGUUGGAAGUGAAAACCAUGGGCUCAACCCAUGAAUUGCUUUCAAAACUGUUUUUCUUGAGUAGUGCAGAGGUAGAUGGAAUUCCCGGUGUAGCGGUGGAAUGCGUAGAUAUCGGGAGGAACACCAGUGGCGAAGGCGGUCUACUGGGCGCCAACUGACGCUGAGGCUCGAAAGCAUGGGUAGCAAACAGGAUUAGAUACCCUGGUAGUCCAUGCCGUAAACGAUGAUUACUAGGUGUUGGGGGAUUGACCCCCUCAGUGCCGCAGUUAACACAAUAAGUAAUCCACCUGGGGAGUACGACCGCAAGGUUGAAACUCAAAGGAAUUGACGGGGGCCCGCACAAGCAGUGGAGUAUGUGGUUUAAUUCGAAGCAACGCGAAGAACCUUACCAGGUCUUGACAUCCGAUGCAUAGCACAGAGAUGUGUGAAAUCCUUCGGGACAUCGAGACAGGUGGUGCAUGGUUGUCGUCAGCUCGUGUCGUGAGAUGUUGGGUUAAGUCCCGCAACGAGCGCAACCCUUAUUGCCAGUUACUACGUUAAGAGGACUCUGGCGAGACUGCCGUUGACAAAACGGAGGAAGGUGGGGAUGACGUCAAAUCAUCAUGCCCUUUAUGACCUGGGCUACACACGUACUACAAUGGCGUUAAACAAAGAGAAGCAAGACCGCGAGGUGGAGCAAAACUCAAAAACAACGUCUCAGUUCAGAUUGCAGGCUGCAACUCGCCUGCAUGAAGUCGGAAUUGCUAGUAAUCGCGGAUCAGCAUGCCGCGGUGAAUACGUUCCC
rnacentral:rRNA from 1 species